UUACUUAGCCGGCAGGGGAAAUACUACAAUCAUUAAGGUGGUUUCCCCAAAUUGAGGUUCUUCCAUUGCACACUUUGGAUGGGUCAACCCCCUGUGAUUACAUGAUCUUACUGCAUUCCCUAUUAAUCAAGGAAUAUUAAUAUUCUUAUCUCCCUA